AAAAUUAAUUUUCUUUUUUUCUAGGUGGAUAACCAACCCAGCAGAUGACAAAGUGGGUGCUGUAUUAUUCAGAUAAUACCGAGCGGUUGCUCUGGUCCCAUAAAGGUCAACAUUUAUGUUAAAUGUGCCCAUCCAUAAUUUCUGGGAGUACAUUGUUGAUCUUACUUUUCAACGCAUUUGAAGGUGGAUAACCAACCCAGCAGAUGACAAAGAGGGUGCUGUAUUAUUUAGAUAAUACUGAGUGGUUGUUCUGGUCCCAUAAAGGUCAACAAUUAUGUAAUGUGUGCUAUGUGCUUAUCCAUUAUUUCUGGGAGUACAUUGUUGAUCUUACUUUUCAACGCAUUUGAAGUUUGUGAUGGUCUUGUUCCAGAUAUAAUUCAGAUUGCUGCCACGGAGUAUGCUUAUAACUGAAAUUGCUCAACAGGUAAUGUGGAUUGUCAAAACUGGUCAAACAAGCAUGUCAGUAAACGGAAACCCUGUUGUCCUGCUAACAAUCAAAUGAGCACUGCGGAAUUUCUUUACUUGGUUACAGAAAUUUCAUAAUGUCAGUUUGCUGGAGGUUUGAUCUUCCAGCGCUAGCCACUGCAUGGAGGAAUAUUGGCUAACUACCAUUUUAUAUUAUUUCCCUUCAUUAGCAGUUCAUGAUAGAAAACUCAUCGGCAAGGAGAAACACAAGACAGCAUUAUUGAAGCCCAGGAUGUGUGCAGAACAGCAACAGCAGAAAAUAUUGCCAGAUUGUGACUGACCCUUUCUCAUCUUCAAACCACAUUCCAUCUUUAAGUCCAUAUUAUGGACUUACUAUAACCUUCAUUGUGAAGAACAGUUAAGACCAACCUAGAGUAAUUAAUAUGAAAAGAAAACUGGAAAGUGUUA
rnacentral:lncRNA from 1 species